GCCAACAUCAUCCACCUGGAGCAUACGUCGCGGACCCCUCGCCCUCGUAAUGAACUUGGAGAAGGAGAGGACAGAUGCGGAGAAGGGAAUCGCUGCUGCUCUGUGAGUAUAUAGCGGUUGGCACAGCGCGAAGGAAAUCGAUCGCUAUGCCGAUCACGACGCCCGGAUGGACGCUCAUCGCUUCCUCUGCCGAGCGCGCAUUCCACGUACGAUCGGCACACUCUACGUAUACGCCUCGGCUCAGUCGCAGCUCGCCUUUCCUUCCUUCCAGUCGCAGUAGCCGUCGUCUCGUGCACGAGUUCAGCGCAUCGUCAGAUAAACCGGUUGCAUGGUGGCGCUGAUGCUGAUAACGGCCACGAGAACGACACAGCGACAACGGAGGCGUCGCUGAUGCUGAUGGUGCGAGGGGUGCGAGAGACGACGGUGUUUGCGAAAGAUAGGCACAUUCGUGAUCUACCCUGUAGAUCCGGGCUUUUGUAGAAUUGUAGAUAUCAGAAGCUCGUCUCUACAGGUAUCUUACGGAUGACAUGCCACGCGACUCUUUAUCGCAGAUGCUGAUCCCUCCCGUCGCCCCCUUAAUGAGUUCGGCUUAUCGCCGAGAUACGUCUGCGACUGUAAUUGAUGAUGUAGCUGUUGUGCUUGGAGAAUAAAACGAUGUAAAUGUCCUGUGUAUUCUAUGUUGGAGAGAAUAAAGAACGAAAAUAUACAUUUA